rnacentral:lncRNA from 1 species
UUCUCAUUAUUUUCUUGUUUUGACAGUUUUUUUCUUUUCUUGCUAGGUGAUGGGUCUCUUUAUGGAGAUUGAUGCCCGUGAUCAGUCUUUUCUGAGCUCGGUGGACUGCUGGAUUGAGGAGGCUCGCCACGAAGAGAACCUUGCAGCAACUAGUGAUGCCCGGGGUCAUCUUGCUGCAGCCCAAGAGCAUCUAAAGGCUCUGCAAGAGGAGCUGGCUUGGACUCGGGAUGCUGUCAAGAGGGUUGAUGAGAGGGCGGUUGCGGCGGAG